UACGGAGGGUGCAAGCGUUACUCGGAAUUACUGGGCGUAAAGGAUGCGCAGGCGGUUUUGAAAGUCAGAUGUGAAAUCCUAUGGCUUAACCAUAGAACUGCAUUUGAAACUUCAUGACUAGAGUGAGGGAGAGGUAAAUGGAAUUAGUGGUGUAGGGGUAAAAUCCGUAGAGAUCACUAGGAAUACUCAUUGCGAAGGCGAUUUACUGGAACUUUACUGACGCUGAGGCAUGAAAGCGUGGGGAGCAAACAGGAUUAGAUACCCUGGUAGUCCACGCCCUAAACGAUGUACACUAGUUGUUGCGGUGCAAGUCAUCGCAGUGAUGCAGCUAACGCAUUAAGUGUACCGCCUGGGGAGUACGGUCGCAAGAUUAAAACUCAAAGGAAUAGACGGGGACCCGCACAAGCGGUGGAGCAUGUGGUUUAAUUCGAAGAUACGCGAAGAACCUUACCUGGACUUGACAUCCUAUAAAUGAUUUAGAGAUAGAUUAGUGCUAGUUUACUAGAAUAUAGUGACAGGUGCUGCACGGCUGUCGUCAGCUCGUGUCGUGAGAUGUUGGGUUAAGUCCCGCAACGAGCGCAACCCUCGUCGUUAGUUGCUAACAGUUCGGCUGAGCACUCUAACGAGACUGCCUUCGUAAGGAGGAGGAAGGUGAGGACGACGUCAAGUCAUCAUGGCCCUUAUGUCCAGGGCUACACACGUGCUACAAUGGGGAGGACAAUGAGACGCGAUACCGCGAGGUGGAGCAAAUCUAUAAACCUUCUCUCAGUUCGGAUAGCACUCUGCAACUCGAGUGCUUGAAGCUGGAAUCGCUAGUAAUCGUAGAUCAGCAAUGCUACGGUGAAUACGUUCCCGGGUC
rnacentral:rRNA from 1 species